GAGGGUAGAGCUCAGUGGCAGAGCAUGUGCUUAGCAUACACAAAGUUCUGGUUCAAUCCCCAGUGCCCCCU
rnacentral:tRNA from 1 species